rnacentral:rRNA from 1 species
GACAUAGGUGGCAAGCGUUAUUCGGAAUUACUAGGCGUAAAGCGAGUGUAGGCGGACGAUUAAGUCCGACGUUAAAUCUCCAGGCUUAACUUGGAGUCGCGUCGGAUACUGGUCGCCUCGAGUGGGGUAGGGGGCAGCGGAAUUCCCGGUGUAGCGGUGAAAUGCAUAGAUAUGACCCGGAACACCGAUUGCGAAGGCAGCCCGCUACGCAACUAUUGACGCUGAGGCACGAAAGCGUGGGGAUCAAACAGG